AAGCACUGAGGAGCUCUCAAACUAAAAUUAAGUACACAGGAGCAGAUUAGCGUAACCCCAGUGCAAGGAUGACACUCAGAUAUGUGAAGUGUUCCAUAGUUUU
ensembl:snRNA U6 U6 spliceosomal RNA